UACGGAGGGGGCGGGUGUUGUUCGGAAUUACUGGGCGUAAAGGGCGCGCAGGCGGUUUGGCAAGUCGAGUGUGAAAUACCUCAGCUUAACUGAGGAACGGCGCUCGAAACUACCUCGCUAGAGGGCGGGAGAGGGAAGUGGAACUCUCGGUGUAGGGGUGAAAUCUGUAGAUAUCGAGUGGAACACCGGUGGCGAAGGCGGCUUCCUGGCCCGUACCUGACGCUGAGGCGCGAAAGCGUGGGGAGCAAACAGG
rnacentral:rRNA from 1 species